rnacentral:rRNA from 1 species
GGACUACUCGGGUAUCUAAUCCUGUUUGAUCCCCUUGCUCUCGCGCCUCAGCGUCAGGUAUAAGCUAGAGAACCGCUUUCGCCACCGGUGUUCUUCCACAUAUCUACGCAUUUCACCGCUACACGUGGAAUUCCGUUCUCUCCGCCAAUCCUCGAGAUUUGUAGUUUCAAAUGCAGCUCCGAAAUUGAGUCCCGGAAUUUCACAUCUGACUUACAUAUCCGCCUACGCGCCCUUUACGCCCAAUAAUUCCGAUUAAUGCUUGCACCCUCCGUAUUACCGCGGCUGCUGGCAC